rnacentral:ncRNA from 1 species
AAGUUAUCAUGAAAGGUAGAGGGAAUAGACCCGUUGAAGCCUUAGCAACCCUUUUCUGUUUUGUUAGAAAUGAAGGUGCUACAUUCUACUAGCAGUUUUUGUUAGAUAGAUAACAC